rnacentral:tRNA from 1 species
GGACCAUUAGCUCAGUUGGUCAGAGCGUCGCCCUUUCUGUAAGGCGAAGGUCGCGGGUUCGAUCCCCUCGUGGUCCA